rnacentral:rRNA from 1 species
UACGUAGGGUGCAAGCGUUGUCCGGAAUUAUUGGGCGUAAAGAGCUCGUAGGCGGUCUGUCGCGUCGGCUGUGAAAUCCCGGAGCUCAACCCCGGGCCUGCAGUCGAUACGGGCAGACUAGAGUGCGGUAGGGGAGACUGGAAUUCCUGGUGUAGCGGUGAAAUGCGCAGAUAUCAGGAGGAACACCGGUGGCGAAGGCGGGUCUCUGGGCCGUAACUGACGCUGAGGAGCGAAAGCGUGGGGAGCGAACAGG